rnacentral:rRNA from 1 species
UGCAACCCGAACGGUGUCUUCGGACAUAGUGGCGCACGGGUGCGUAACACGUAUGCAACCUACCUUACAUUGGGGGAUAGCCUUUCGAAAGGGAGAUUAAUACCGCAUAAGACAGUAGCUGGGCAUCCAGCAGCUGUUAAAGAUUUAUCGAUGUAAGCUGGGCAUGCGUCCAAUUAGCUAGUUGGUGAGGUAAUGGCUCACCAAGGCUAUGAUUGGUAGGGGAACUGAGAGGUCAAUCCCCCACACUGGCACUGAGAUACNGGGCCAGACUCCUACGGGAGGCAGCAGUAGGGAAUAUUNGNNCAAAUGGACGCAANNUCUGACCCAGCCAUCCCUUGUCCAGGAUGAAGGCUGUNAUGCUNUCGUCAUCCGCUUCAUCUNUAACACCCCNAUCCUUCCCGAUGCAUUCCUCUUUCUUGUCACACCCCCCUCUNACUCCNCUUCUUAACUCUCACU